AUUAAAGUCAUUAAGUUGUCUCCUGUAUACCGGUAGUUUAAUGUAAAAACAUAUCAGGCGCUGUAUGAUCCAUUUCUGUGUAAAAGGGCUGACAGUCCUAUUUUUACACUUGAUGACGGGAUCUCCGUUGCGCUCUUGUGUACGGUGGAGCCAGUUCAUUGAUUAUAGAGGAAGCGUAGUUUUGGACAACCGCUUCACAUACAUUACUGUUGCAAUGUAGCCGGCCCAUUAAGAUGUAUGUUCUGCUGAGAAAACAGAUUUUUUUUUUGUUUGCAGGAAUUUGGAGCAUUAUCGGUCACUAUAACCAGGGUUGGGCGUUGUUUUGAUUUUAACAAUUCUGAUUCUCUUUGGGUUAAGGUUCUUAUGUAUUUGAGGGGUUGGAUUUUAAAUGUGGCACUUAUUUUACAGACAAGAGAAACCAUUUUGAUUCAGUGGUGAUUUCAAUGGUGAUUUACAGUUUUACAGGGCUUUUUCAACGUGAACUAAAGCCACACUAGAGCACUGCUUACUGCGCUCAAUGGCUGCAACACAACACGCGCCUGGAGGUAUGGUGGUCGCUACGGAAACUUAAACUUGCGUGUGGUAGAUUUGGAACAGAUUCAAAACCACUUUUUAAAAACGCACCAAUUAAAAACAAUUCCAUUGGAAUGGUGAUUUUUGAAACGCUUUUAAGUUGGAACCGAUUGUUGAUGCCUAGUCCUAACUAUAACAUCCAGGGAGCAUAUCUUUUCAUAUAUGAACAGCUCUAUUGUUCAUAGGGUUCUAUUUUUCUAGGCAACACCUCACCGCAGUAUGAUUAGUUUGGUCAAACUGGGCCAGCCUCUGCUCAGAAGUUACUGCAUGGAAUAACUUUGUAUCCUCUGUCAAACAGUGGAUUGUCAUGAAUGAUGACGGUUCUUUUUUCAGCAGCCAGAUUUUAUACUCUGAUGUAUCAAAUUUUCUUGAUGAAAUAAAUGCUUAUACACUCUCAAAAACACCAAAUUUGAAUUAAAAAAAUGUCUAUCCCUAUUUGUAGAUUUACUUUCUGAACACGUUUGAGAAAAGAGCGUCCUAAACAGCUCACAAAUGACUUGAAUUUCCUUUUAUACAGUUGUGUUGCAUGUAGUGGACUCACAGUGUGGACAAGUAAUGUUACCAGCAAACAAACUGAAACACAAGAAAUGAAUACAUACUAAAAUAUCUCCAGCAAAAUCUUCUUAGAAUUACUCUUACAUGCAUUUUCAGUUUAGUGUGUGCCAAUAUUGUGAAGAAACAAUUAACCACAAUAGACUUAAAGUUAUAGAGCGUAGUUUUCUCUCCCCCAUGAGGGAUUCUAAGUAAUAACAACAAAAUUGUUGACGCAUCCACAUGACACAAGCCUUCCGUGAUCGCGCACCAGCCCCAUCCCUUCUCUACGCAGUUGCUAGUAGCCAAGGAGGACACAGAGGAUUAAAAAAGACACGAUGAAAGUUAUUAUCUUCACUUGAUUUUCUGUGCGCGAAAGUUGCCGGAUGACAUAAUCUUCUGAAAACAGCCAUACUGAGAAAUACAGAGAGAGUUGUGUGGAUAUUAGCUUUGUAUAAACUCCUUUGGCAAUGGCUUAAUUGUAACGGACGUUCAUUACAAAUGUUCCACAGUACAGCUUUUCCCCCUAAUGUUUUCUCUUCAGCCAUGCAUCCAUACAGAAAAACAGUACAUCGUUUCUUCAGAAAUAGCAAAGGUUCAUAAAGUUGUCAUGUAGUCAGUAAGCAAGCGAGGUAAUGUUAGCUUCUGUUAGUCCGUCAGCUACUGUUUGACUUGGUGAUAUUACGUAAAAACAUCACUACUUCUGUUAAACUGUGCAUCAUGGGCUAUGCAAGUUUUUUUGCUUUUAACAAAAAAAGCAGAAAAUGUCAUGAACCUGUGCCAUUAUUGAAGAAUAUAUCUACCAUCACAUUCUUUUUUUCCAAUGGAAGUUACUGAGCAUUUCAUGUAAAUAGUAUUUAUAAAAAAAUUCAGCGUUCAGCCCUAAAACACCAACACGUACGCUUUUCAGAUCAAGUAACGAGCAGAUGGUAUUCUGUGUGUCCAUAUACUGUAGCCUGCCAAAUCCUAGGCUUUUUUUCUACUGUUAAAAAUGUAAGAAAACACAAUUGUGUACUACGUCAAGUAUUUUUUCUCAUGCCCCAAAAUGUAGAAAUGGAACCAAUGGAUACCAAGGGGCAAAAAAAUGACACACCAACCUUAGGCCAUUACUUACCUACCACCAAGAGGUUCUUGAACUUUUCACUUACACCAAAGAAACUGUCAGAUACAGUUUAGUAGCAUGUCCUAUAUAAAUGUCAUGUUGCACAUCCGUCUCCACAUAUGUAAAACAUUAAAUACACAAUAGGCUUAACCCAUAGUUAAGAUGUCAUAUUCCAGGUGACAGCCAGUAAUCAACCAACAUGUUGGUUGAUUUAGGAUUUAGAUUUUUUUCGACCAUUAUCGAACAAGGAAUGUAUUAAAAGCCACAUUGAUCUAUGCAAACAUGAACAUUGUUGCAGCUGUUCUCUUAGAGUGUGAACACUCCCUAAUUUAUUUGUUAGGGAUGAACAAUUUCAUUGAAUUGGCUAUCGGCCAGUUUAAUUAUCCACAGUGUAAACUCUGUCUCUACAGCCAAAACACAGUACAAAAGGUUGCUACACACCCCCCCCCCCCCACCACCCCCCCCCCCCCCCCCCCCCCCCACCACCACCUCUGCAGCAGGGAACCUUCAGUGGUUUUUGCCACUUCCAGUACAUGUUCUAUUAACUUUAUUAGUAGCAAAAACAAAAAAAAGGAGCAUGUGCAAAUGACAAAUAUUCUUAAAUGUAGAAAUGAUAUCAGGCUUGUUAAACUGUUAAUAAUGUACCAAAAAGUCAUUUUAUAAACACAUGGGAUAAAAAAUGCUGUUAAAUAUAGCAGAUUUCAUUUUAAUUAACAUAGUUUGUCUAAUUUAUUAUUAUUUUAAGAAUACUUUUGUUUAUAUUUGGGGGAAUAAAUCCAAAUUACAAGAUACAUGUGCUUCAUAUUUACAAUACCACAGAUUAUGCACAGCAUAAUAAAAGCAAGCACCAUUUAUUGUUCAGUGCUUCUUUGCCAAAAUGCCAUUGCUGUUUUUCGGAUUAUAAUAUUUGCAAGAGUAUCAUUUCAUAAAAUGUUGCAAGUUUUAAAAAAGCUGUCUUAGGGUUAGCACUGAUGGCUUCUGCCUACACAUGGUAGGAUAGUCCAGGAGUCUCUAUUAGGGAUUUCAGUCCCCCCCCCCCCCAAGCUUCAAACACUACGUUGGCUUUAAAAAAAAAAAAGAUUGUUUUUAGGAUCUAUGUGUAAAAGAAGUAUGUUUAUAUUGCUUUUUCUGUAAAGUGUAACUCAAAUGAUUCAUUUAAGUGUAUUCACAAGUUGCUCCUGUAACAUGUCUGAACUUAUUGCAUAUCCCCCCCCCCCCCCGUGUAGGUAGCCAUGGACUUCAAAAUCAAAUGCUGUAUUUUUCAGCCCAGCAACCUCAACAUGUUCAAUGAUCAUGUGAUUAUAGGAGUGAGGUUGUUUGCUGUACUAAUUAUUAAAAGGUUGGCAUAUUGCUAUAUAUUGCAUUCAACCCAAGCCAUACGAACACAUCUAUCAUCUGUGUACAAUGUCAUUCUCUGUCAAUGUUGUUCAUAUUGUAUCGUGACUAUUAACUCAAUACACUGUGACAAUAAAGCAGUGCCUGGAAAAAUGUC